CCACGCUUUCCCCGCAGCCGCAGCGAACCUCGGCGAUGGCGGCGGCGGCCGACGAGGCGUGGUGCCGGGAGACCGUCCCCCGGGUGAUGGCGCUGGUGAGCCCGCGCCUCCCGCAGCGCGACGCCUGCGCCCUGCUCUCCGUCAGCCCCUGGUGCCACCGCGCCCUCGCCGCCAACCCCAAGCUCUGGGAGGUACUCGACCUGCACGAGAUGAAGAAAGCUGGCGAGCGGCUCAUUUCGGCGCUUUCACUGGCACGGUAUCGUCAUCUCAAAGUCGUGAACCUUGAAUUCGCUCAAGAUAUCGAGGACCGGCAUUUUCUCCAUCUGAAAGAAACGGGUGCUGUCUUACUAGAAGAGUUGGAACUCCUGAACCUAAAUGCAUGUCAGAAGAUCUCUGAUACAGGAAUUGAAGCUGCUACCAGUAUUUGUCCUAAUCUUCAGGCCCUGUCGAUCUAUUGGAUUGUUGGAUUGACAGACGAAAGCAUUGGACAUGUUGUGAAGAACUGCAAGCAGAUAAUCGACUUGAAUCUGAGUGGCUGUAAGCUCUACUUUUUCAUGGCUUUUCACGCCACUGAUUGGAUAUAUAUUACAUGCAUUACAGAAUAUCUCAGAUAGAGGAAUACAGCUAGUUGCCGAUAAUUAUCAAGGACUACAGAAGUUAGACAUAACCAGGUGCAUUAAGUUGACAGAUGAUGCACUGCAAAAGGUUCUUGAGAAAUGCUCUGCUCUUGAAAGCUUGAACAUGUAUGCACUUUCAAGUUUUACCGACAAGGCUUAUUCAAAAAUAGGAUAUUUAGCCAACCUUACAUUUCUAGACCUAUGUGGGGCCCAGCGUUCCCAGAACCUAACUGACGACGGUCUUAGCAGUAUAUCAAGAUGUGGACGUUUGACAUAUCUAAAUUUAUCUUGGUGCGUACGUGUUACUGAUGUUGGGGUGGUAGCUAUCGCACAAGGUUGUCGGUCCCUUCAACUACUAAGUUUAUUUGGAAUACUUGGAGUAACUGAUGCUUGCCUGGAGGUUUUGUCAAAAUCUUGCUUAAAUAGUCUCACGACUCUGGAUGUUAAUGGCUGUACUGGUAUUAAGUUAUCAUCACGUUUUGCCGCAUCAUUUCUGCAAAUGAAUUGUUCGAUUGACGAGUACCCUGUUCGACAGAAGAGGAGCCGGAACGACCUGAUCCAGUUGUUCCCACUAUUGAGUUGCUUCAAGGUGCACAGCUAGCAGCAACGGCUUGGACGUUUGAAAUGGUUGGUGGCGCCCACCGACCCAUUUGGUCCUCCAUGGGGUGGGCGAUCGCGCUGCACGGCGGCGCCGGGGACAUCCCGCGGACGCUGCCGCCGGAGCGCAGGGAGCCCCGCCUCGCCACGCUCCGCCGCUGCCUCGACCUCGGCGCCGCCGCGCUCCGGGCCGGCCGCUCCGCCCUCGACGUCGUCGAGCUCGUCGUGAGGGAGCUGGAGGACUGCCCGCACUUCAACGCCGGCAAGGGGUCGGUGCUCACGACCGACGGCACGGUGGAGAUGGAGGCCUCCGUCAUGGACGGCGCCGGCAUGCGCUGCGGCGCCGUCUCGGGCCUCUCCACCGUCGUCAACCCCAUCUCGCUCGCCAGGCUCGUCAUGGACAAGACGCCCCACAUCUACCUCGCCUUCGACGGCGCAGAGGCCUUCGCCAGGGACCAGGGUGUGGAGGUUAGAGACCAAAACCACUUUAUUACAGAGGAAAACAUCGACAGGCUCAGAAACGCCAAAGAGGCCAACAGGGUGCAGAUCGACUACACACAGUACAACUACACGCAGCCAAUCUGCGCUCCCAACGACAACGACGACGACAACAGCCGGACCGGCACGGUGGGCUGCGUGGCCGUCGACGCGUCGGGCAGCCUGGCGUCGGCGACGUCCACGGGUGGGCUGGUGAACAAGAUGGCCGGCAGGAUCGGCGACACCCCGGUCAUCGGCGCCGGCACCUACGCCAACGCCCUCUGCGCCGUGUCCACCACCGGCAAGGGCGAGGACAUCAUCAGGCACACCGUGGCGCGCGACGUGGUGGCGGUGAUGGAGCACCGGGGCCUCCCGCUGGAGGAGGCCGCCGCGCGCGUCGUGGCCGGCGUGCCCCGCGGCUCCGUGGGGCUGGUGGCCGUGUCGGCCGCCGGGGAGGUGACCAUGGCGUACAACACGACGGGGAUGUUCAGGGCGUGCGCCACCGAGGAUGGGUACUCCGAGGUCGCCAUAUGGCCUGCAUCUGCAUGAUCCUGGUUAAUGGGGAGAGCUAGCGUUGGAGAGUAAACUAUCAGCUGAUUAUAUAUGUGUGUCUGUCUUCUUUCUCUAGUGUCCGCUGCAGGUGCUCAUCUCUGCUUUGCGACUACGAGGCAAAGAACUCAGAUUAGUUUGACGUUUCAGUAUGUUGUGUAAGGAUUGAACUAAUUUGGUUUCAAAAAAUUAUCGCAAGUUUGUUUACGAUUA